AGCGAACGCUGGCGGCAGGCUUAACACAUGCAAGUCGAGCGGGCACUUUCGGGUGUCAGCGGCGGACGGGUGAGUAACGCGUGGGAACGUGCCCUCUGGUUCGGAAUAACUCAGGGAAACUUGAGCUAGUACCGGAUACGCCCUUUUGGGGAAAGGCUUGCUGCCGGAGGAUCGGCCCGCGUCUGAUUAGCUAGUUGGUGAGGUAACGGCUCACCAAGGCGACGAUCAGUAGCUGGUCUGAGAGGAUGAUCAGCCACACUGGGACUGAGACACGGCCCAGACUCCUACGGGAAGCAGCAGUGGGGAAUAUUGGACAAUGGGCGCAAGCCUGAUCCAGCCAUGCCGCGUGAGUGAUGAAGGCCUUAGGGUUGUAAAGCUCUUUUAUCCGGGACGAUAAUGACGGUACCGGAGGAAUAAGCCCCGGCUAACUUCGUG
rnacentral:rRNA from 1 species